rnacentral:misc_RNA from 1 species
UCAGGCAAUGUGGUCCCGGGCCG